AAUAAGAUUUAUUGUAAAAAAAAAAAAAAAAAACUAGAUAGCUGCAGGCUGAAGAAGGCUUCUGUUGUGUGUGCUAAGCAAGAGUGUUCACUGAGUGAGUGGUUCCCUUCAUGAGGCCGAGCUCUGUCUUUGUUGUGCACAACUCGGAUGUAGGACCACGAGAGCCACAAAUACCAAUAGGGUGACUCACUCUGGCUGCAUGGAUCCAGGUAAGACCUUGCCUGGAGGCAGGUGGGACAUCCAGCUGCACUGGAACCCAGGAGCCAGAUCUUCCUCCCUAAGGCUCUGGGCAGAAAAGGAACAAGAACAUAGCCGGGUUCAGAAGUUUUAUCUUUAAGCUUAUUUCUGGCUGGGAGUACCCAGCACAGCCUAUCAUAGUUUUUUAAAACAGCCCUUCAUGGGUACAUGAGAGAGCUGCUGGCCUGAUUGUCAAAUGUCUACACAUCAAAGUGAAUAACCAAGAGGUAGAGGUUCCUCUAGGGAGAGACCAGCCACAAUUAUCUCCCAUGAACUUGCAUAUCCUUGGUGCUUGAUUAGGGAGAGGGUGGAUUCUGCUCUCAGGCCAGAGGCACAUGUGUGAAGCAAGAUGUGACAGGUGCAUCCUGAUAAGCAGGGAGGGACGGCUUGGUAGAACACACCCAUUGCUGAGCUGGGGGAAAAGGAGAGGUAAGGUUUAUUUCUUAAAUAAACUUUGAUUAUUGUGAAUGUUCAACCUUGUGGCACUGACAUCAAGCUAAUUCCUCACACCAUGGCUAAGUGAAGGCACUGAGUGGUAACAACUGGGUUUGUUCUUAGUGUGUCUCCAGGAGAUGUGUUGGCUCCCUGCAACCACCCAUCUAUAGCAUCUAGACGGAAACAAGAAAGCCAUGUCCUUGGCUGGCAAGAUGAGUAAAGGUGUUUGCUGCUGAUCCUGAUGGCCUGCUGAGUUAGAUCCCCAGAGCACUUGUGAUAAAAGGGGUGUUUUGCCCAGUAGCUGCCCAGCUCUGGUGACUUGUCCAACCCUGAUGGCCCUCUGGAAGGAGGCCCUUGAUUCUUUGCAUUCUUCAAUGUUCUCAUACAUCAUCUAACAACAGAGAUGCUUCUGGUGCAACACAUUGAGCAAUUUCAUUGUACUUCAGAGUCCUUACGCAAACCGGGAUAUCUGGGAACAUCACUAGAGAAAAGAAGAGAAGAGAAGAGAAAAGGGGAGGGGAAGGCAGGGAAGGGGAGGGGAGGAGAGGGGAGACAUGAAGAACCAGACUAGACUAGCCAAGGUACCAAUGGAGACAGAUGAAGCCUAUCCAGACAGGAAACUUCCCCAUGUGCUCCAAAUCACUGCCACUGAGGCACAGAUUAAAAACAUUGUGUGAAAAGGCAAGCAGGAGGAGAGGGAAGAGAUAGUAAUAUUGGUAGAGCUGAAGAAAAUGUGACCCGAAACUGGGCAGAAGACAAAGACAUACAAAAUGUUGAAAGUAAACCGGAAUUGUUGCCAUGCCUUUCAUUGACACGACAUUUUUGCAUUCACAGACUUACAAAAGCCUGACUGUUUCUAAGAGCGCAUGAAAGUUCUAGCCUGUCUCCUUACCUUGAGCUUCUAGAAUUAGAUCUCAGAGAAGAGUUCAUCUGCUGGUUGUGCGGUGGUAGUGUUUCUCCCCGUAGUUGUCCAGCCUGGUGGCUCUCUUGGAAGAGGCCCUGGCUCACUUUGUCCCUGAUUCUUCCCAUUCCUCAAUGUUCUCAUACGCCACCUAAUAACAGAGAUGCUUUUAGUACAGGACAUUGGGCAAUUUCUUUGUACUUCAGAGAGUCCUUACACAAACCAGGAUAUCUGGGGUCAUCUUUAGGCAAUGGAGUUUUGUGUGACCACCAUGCUCAUAGGAUCUGGUAUUAUGCAACACAUGACUGCUGAUCUAACUUCUAGAAAGUUCUGGCAGCUUCAAUGUCAAAUUUGCUAUACGAGCAUUUUCGUUUUAGACCUUUGUCUGCCUUUAAGAACCAGACAGGACCUUUGCUGAAUUGCAGGUAGUUUUAUAUGCCCCUUCGAUGUUAUUUCUUCCAUCCUGACUCCUCCUGAUUCUUCAAACUAUCCCCUUGAGCACAUAUUUCAGGCUUUUAAAACAACGUACAAAGUGUCUCUUCCUGGAAUCUUUGUAAAAUGGCUUAUCAUUCCUUCAAAGGUGAAACAGAUGUUCACACAGCUUUAUGGAAUCUACCUGACACGAUACAUUGGAGACUCUCAUCCCAUGCUUCAAAUACUUCUUGCAUUGAACAAAUGCAUCUGAGGUUUAAAGCAUCUAGGGUUGAAUGCAUCUGAGGCUGAUCUGUUUUGAGGGUUAGUGAACACUUAGUUCCUCUUUGGCCUUGCCAUUGGACCCCAUUUACAUGUUUUUCAGGGUGAUUUUCACAUGGAGAGGAUGGCCUUACUGUGGUGAGGAAACCAUUUGUAAAGGAUUUUCAAUGCCAAGGAUAAGGAAAGGGAAAGCCCCUUGGUAAAGAGAGGCGUUCACGAAUGGAGAGAGUCUCAGGGCUCCUGGAAGGAGGAGUCCUGUGUGCCAAUGUAUCUGCCAUCCAAGCUCAUGUCUGCAGUUAUAAAUAAGGUAAUCUUGUCUUUGUCAAGGUCCAUCUUAUGUCACUAUCUAAUCUAUGCAGUGUGUGUGCACAAUGGCAAUGGACUCAUGACACUAGCUACCUGUGGCUAAUGUCCUGGAGGCCCUGGGAAGCCUGAGUAAGGUCCAUCCUCUGACCAUGUCUUCCUCUCUCUCUCAAAACAACUGUCAGAUGUACUCCAGGCUGGGCAGAGGUGCCCUGCAUACAAAAGCCAUGGUGACCCCACUGCUAGAGCCAGGACCCUAGGAGGACAAAACAAGACAGGGAGUGGCAGCCAUAAAACCUUUGACCUACAAUCUGUCCUGCCUGAAAAGUGUGCUGGGGCAGUGGUGACACAGAACUUGUGGGAGUGACCAGCCAAUGUCUGAUUUGACAUCGGGCCCACUCCAUAAGAAGGAACCCAUACCAAGACUGCUUGGGAAGCCAAGAACCAGAGACUACACGUAUCUCAGAGACUGAGGGUAAAACAGACACGACUGUUUUUUUUUUAAGUAUCAAUAAAAUUGUUCUUAAUUAUA